UACGUAGGGGGCUAGCGUUGUCCGGAAUCAUUGGGCGUAAAGAGCGUGUAGGCGGUUCGGUAAGUCCGCUGUGAAAGUCCAGGGCUCAACCCUGGAAUGCCGGUGGAUACUGUCGGGCUAGAGUCCGGAAGAGGCGAGUGGAAUUCCUGGUGUAGCGGUGAAAUGCGCAGAUAUCAGGAAGAACACCCGUGGCUAAGGCGGCUCUCUAGUACGGUACUGACGCUGAGACGCGAAAGCGUGGGGAGCGAACAGG
rnacentral:rRNA from 1 species